rnacentral:lncRNA from 1 species
UCAGACAUUCUGGUCCUCACGGGCCAAGCUGGCCAGAGCUCCAAUCCCUUAUCACAGUGACCAAACUACAUAGAGAAAAAGAGGCAUGAAAACAAGGACUCUUACAAGACUUGCCAAAUGUUGAACCAACGGGAAAGGUCAAUACUAAAUUGGAUUAAAAGAAGAAACACCUGGAAAUAAAAUAGCUAACAGAGGAAACAACAACAGCAAAACACUUUCAAUAAGUAAAAUUAAUAUCAGAGGAUCAAGAGGUUAUUACACUCCUAGAAAAGAGACAGAGAUCGACAUGCUAUGGCCUCCGAAGAAAAAUCGAUACACAAAUAAACUAUCUUUUGCCUAGACUGUGUAAACC